rnacentral:misc_RNA from 1 species
ACUCUUAAAUUUUCUAAUUUUACAUAGAAUAUAAUUCUUAAAUUGUAUUGAGAAUAUCAUCUUCCUAUUCUGCAUUACUCCUCAUCCUUGUGGUGUUUAGAAAAUUGAAAUAGGAUUUUGAUGUCAUACAUAUUGCUAUUUUAAAUUGGAAAUUAAAGUGGGAUUCUAUUUGAAUUAUGAUUAGAAAAUUAGGGAUUGGAAUGCUUAACAUAUUAUGAUUUUACCAUUCCAUUUAAUUUUUUAAUUUCUUUUUUUUUUAUUUUUUAACCCAAAAUCGUUCAGAGU